UACGGGGAGGGUAAGCGUUGUUCGGAAUUACUGGGCGUAAAGGGCUCGUAGGCGGCCAACUAAGUCAGACGUGAAAUCCCUCAGCUUAACUGGGGAACUGCGUCUGAUACUGGAUGGCUUGGAUCCGGGAGAGGGAUGCGGAAUUCCAGGUGUAGCGGUGAAAUGCGUAGAUAUCUGGAGGAACACCGGUGGCGAAGGCGGCAUCCUGGACCGGUAUUGACGCUGAGGAGCGAAAGCCAGGGGAGCAAACGGG
rnacentral:rRNA from 1 species